UCGCCUCCACAUCUACUCCAUUCCCUCCACACCUUCCUGCUGCUGACAUCUGCGUGGAGACGCAAGAAGACAGAGACGGGAAUGAAGAGAAAAGCUCUUUUCGCGCUGUCGCAGUGUCUUAGCUCCGCAUCCAUUUUGUUUUUCUUUUUCUUUUUAAUAUAUUUAUUUAAAGGAUUGAAUCGGGACAACUUUAACGUUUUUUGUUUUUUCUCCCCCAGACGCAGCGGCAGAAAGAGACACAAUAGCGGGGGGGAAAGCAGCAGCAGAACCCAGACUGACCUGCGGUUAUAGAGCUGGACGUGUGGCACUGAAUGACGGAUGUAAACGUAAUGUAUCUGAGCUGAUCAUAAAUAUCACUGUUUUACAUGUUAAACCGUUGAUCGUGUGUGUGUGUGUGUGUGUGUUGGUGUUUUCUACGCGUAAUUGCCGAUUUCGGUGGUUUCCUACUAUACCUGUGGUUUUCGUGCCAUCACUCGUUUUUUAAUCUUAAUUUUAAUCUCAGUAUUUUUCACGUGAACAUUCACGACACCGGUGAUUCACAGACACUCGUGUUUGUGCGUGUAUGUGCUCGGCGUUGGCCUCAGGAGAGCCACGCAGGGCUCCCGUGUCCUCAGCCGCCAUCUGUCACUCUCUCCGAGGUCACAUGAGGUAGAACAGCGGGUGCAGGAAAUGUGGGAAAUCUUACACGAGGUGUGUUUUUUUUUUUCUCACCCUCUAGGAUUAGGGUGGGGUUUUUCUUCUUCUCUCUCUCUCUCUCUGUGUCAUUCAGCCACGUUUUAGUCCUUUUUUCCCCCCCGCCUCAGUCGUGCGCUUUUACGCACAGCGACACGCGGAGUGGAUGGAGCAUGGAGUCGGUGAAGACUGACGGAUGUUUGGGAGCACAGAUGUGACCAUGCCUCUGGCUGAGGUAGUAGUUUGUGCUGUUGGUCGGGGAGUCACACUGCCCCUUAUGGAGAUGACUGCGCAAUCUACUGCCUUGCCAGCGCUGGUGACUUUCAGCGCAGGAAUGGAACCUGAGAACAGUCGAGGGAACGGGAAAGAACGUGGUUUUGUUACAUGAUCAUUAUUAACUGUAACGGACGUACCUGCAAAUUAACCUUGGAGCUCUCGUGUGAAUAAAGUGAUACGAACUGCACAUGUCCUUUGAAAUAAAGAGUGUUAUUUAACUAACAUGCAAGUGAUAUAUUAUUUUUUUUAUUAUUAAUAAAAUACAUCUAGAUUGUGACAUUGUACCUGGUGUGUGUGUGUGUGUGGAUUUUCUCUAUAUUUUCUCCCAACAAUUACACAUUAGCAUUUAUUAUCCUGGCCUGGUCAUUUGUGAUCAGGUUCUGUAAACCAGGUAAGUGAGCGUUGGCCCCUUGAAUUUCAUGGCGUUACAUAGAUCUAGUUGUGUUAUUUAAGGCCAACGUAAAUAACGGCAGUCAAUUUCAUUUGGUACAGACAUUAGCGGCUGGACAAAACUCAAAAAUCAGCUAAUAAAAAAAAACAUUGGAUUAAAUCUGACGAACUGGCUGGUUAGAUGGUCAUUUGUACACGACCUGGCAACCUCACAUCAGGAGAAUAACUGGCAACCCAUGACGCACCUACAGCGUCAUGACGUAGGACGCCCCUGUAGAGAUUCCAGCCGGUGAGAAAAACGCAGCAGUUGUGUUAAGGAGUUAAAAACAUGUUAUUUAAGAAUAAUAAGAAAAUAUUUAUAUAUUUUAUUUUUUUAUUCAUUAUUUAAAAUAUAUUAAGCUACGUAACUAUUACGAAAUAAGCUCAGACGCAAGGUCGCUUGGAGAAAGUGACGAAGGUGGAGAUCACAGCUUCCAUGUUGCUGUCGUCCUUCAGCAGUUAAAGAUGACUGUGAAGAGUCGGCACCGAGUCCUGUUUCUACAGAAUGGACCACUACUACCUACAGACAGCACCAGAACACUCUGUGCCAAAUCUGGGAGAAACUCUACAUCAUUUCAGCCUCCUGUCUGCGCUUACCUGAAGACAGACAGAGAGACACAGAGACAGAGAGAGAGAGAGAAAACAACAACAGAGAAGAAGGAAGUAGAAAGGCUUUAGUCCACACAACCAGGCCAGAGUAGAAGGAGGAAGAGGAGUGAGGAGCUGCUCAGUGAAGAUGAUCCCGUGGGUUGCUGUCCUCACGGCUGUCUGUCUCCGGGCUCAGGAUGGAGCCACAGCAGGAAGGGCAAGAAUAGAGCA